rnacentral:misc_RNA from 1 species
GAAAGAAGUACUUGUUUUUUUAUUUUUCUUUUGCUCUUAAUUUAUAUAUCGAGCAAUAAGAUGUACAAUAUUCAUCGUAGCACAAGCAGAAAACCCUAAAACAACAUGAAAAGGAAGCAAAAACAAUGAAAAGUAUUUUGCAAGAAAAUUAUAUUAAUAUGAUUAAGCUAACCUUCAUCACUGAGGUCCUAUCAUCUUAUCAAUCCUACCAUUUGUAGCCCUGGACAAAAAUCUCAUACAAAUGGGAGCAUUAACCCCUGCAAGAGCCAGGAUUGAACUAGGCAAAACCCAUAUCCCAUCUCCACAAAUUAAACCAGAAGCUACAGCUGGUGCAAAAGCAUCUGCCUUGGUCUUGUUGAUCUUUUCCCAUAUGAACAAAAUAAAGCUUCCAACACACAUCAAUCGCAAAAUAUGGCCCUCAAUAGAAAGGUAUGGCCAUUGCCAUUGGAUGUGGAACAAAACUUCCCCUCGUCUUACCCAGCCUACCCUUAAUUAAAUUUACUAGAACUGCAGCACCAAAGAAGCAGUAACAAAGCAAAAGGCAAUUCUUUGGUAGAGACGAGAAGCCUUCUACACCCAGAAUAGCCAUAUUACGGUACACAACAGCAUAGGGGACAGGAUAUUCACUAUCUGGAAGCCCAAGGUCAUGAAAGGCCUUGUAGAAUAGCCGAAAGAUGGAAGGGGAAAUUACACAACCCAUUGCUGUGCCAAUCGCUUGGCUCACAAACAUGGACCUGGGCGAAGCCAGGGUUAGAUAGCCAGUCUUGAAAUCUUGCAUGAGGUCGGAGGCUGUGGAGACGAUGUUCAUCAUGACUCCACAUGCUGCUAAACCAGCUAGGACUCCGCCGUGCGAGGUACCAGCCCAUGCCCCAAUUGUGAAAAUAGCUAGCUUCCCAUAGGUAGAUGCUAGAGACCAGUCAGUGAGUCCACAUCCAUAAGCAUUACAGAAUGCUAAGGUUGGUGCAAAGAUGUAGAUGACCAGUAUGUAGUACCAUUUGAGUUGGUGAAAGAUGUGUGGAAGAGUGGCUGUAGAGAUGGCAGCAAUUGUAACAUAUCCUGCAAUAGCAAACCAUGUUGGAAUUUGAUCUUUGAUAAAGAGUCGUGUGCGGCGUUCAUCAUCGUAAGAGAGCUUAAGGCUCUUAGGAGAAGGAUGGUCAACAACAGGGAGACCACUGCUUGCACCUCGACUUCGGAGUUGGAAAAACAAAGCAGCAAGAGUUCGGCUUAGCACCUUAAAGAAGUUGUACAGACCAUCACCCAAGAUAAUGGCAAUGGCAAUAAACACCUUGUAACCUUGAAGACCAUGUAUGUUGGUUGACUCAAGGGCAGCAGAAUACCAGUGACCCUUUCUAGUAUCUAUUAAAGGCCACAUCAGACCCCAGGAAAGAAUUCCCCCAAGCAAAACUGAUAUGUUUACAAUAUGUGGGCAAAUCAUUCCAACUCCAACAUACGUUGCUGAGAAAUCAAAGUAAAACUUGUUUUGAUAAGCUUUCAGACCAAAUGUAGGAAAGUAAACAAAUCCACAAUCAUCUCCUGCAGUAUAGAACCAUUGAAAGAAGCCCCACAAGAAGCUGAAAGAGAAGAAUUUCCCCAAUGUUUUCACUUGUUUCUUUGCUAGUUUGGCUCCUGCAGGGGUGUGGAAGCUGUUGAUGAGAUGAGCAGUUGCAGUGCCACUUGGAUAUGUCAAUUUGAAGUCUAUGAUCAUGACCUUUCUAAGAGGCACCACUGAGAAGAGGCCCAGGAAGCUAACUACAAACAGAAAGCCGAUCAUCCAAGAUAAUGAUGGAUUUUUGUGAUAAUCGCUGUCUUCUGCUGAUUGUUUGGCAAUAGUUUCACUCAUUCCAAAGAGGUAACUCCCGAAGCCUCCUAUAUAAACAAAAUAAUCAAAGUACAGAGCUUCAGAUUCUGAUGUGAGUUAGAGAAAGAAGAAAAAGAAGAUGAGUAAUACCGCUACAGGCAAUUCCAGAGGAGGCAACAACGCAUGUUUGAAUCACAGUAUUUUCUUGCCAGGUUAAGGGCUACUUCAGGAGGCCAGAUUUCUCAAGGAUCUUAGUCCAAGUCCUUACAAAGAAGAAUCCUAAGAGACCAGCAGAAACGUUGAGGGAAGGGAUAAUCCCUGUUGUCAGGUUGAGCUUCAUCAAUAUAAAACUGAACAAUAUGCUCAAAACAAAGCUCACCCCAAAAGCCCUCCAUGUCAGCUGCUCCCUCCAUGAUGGAACCCCAUGGCUCUCAAAUAUCUGCUCCAUUGAUAACUCUCCUCCUGUUUCUUCCUUCCUUUUUUCUUCUUCCUCUUCUCUUCCAGGGUUCUUGCAUCCGUUAUUACUGGGCUCUGCAUGUUCCACAUCCAAAUCACACAACUUCAUCUUCUUUACAAUUAUCAUGAUUCAUUAUAACCCUCUUGCUCUCCCUCUCUGAACACAGAAAGAUGUGGGAUCGCUACUGUUUUGAUUAGUGAGAGGUUGGAAUCCAAGGAUGUGAAUCCUUUUAAGGGCAGCUGGAUUUAUACUGGCACUCCAGUGAUUCAAGUGGGAAUCCACUUCGGAGUUCAUACUAAUGAUUCAGAGAGUUGUCAUCGCUCAUCACAUUCACAUAAUGGCAUGGGGACGAAUCCUAAUGCGUAGGCCCUUUGCGUACAUGCCGUUAAGGGUGCAAAGUUCGUUUAAGAAACAUACAGGAGAGGGCCCCCAAAAAAAUAAGGGCGAUAGUAUAAUAAAUAGGGGGCAGAGGGGUGGGGAGUGGGAAUCACUUUCAAGAAUUGUAAUGACUAAUUAAAUGUUUAUCGCUUGAGUAAAUCCAGAAUCCUUGGUUGCUAUAGUGGUCUGCCUCUAUUAUUGCUAGUAAUGUAAACGUAAUGGACAACUGGAAAACCAAUGUUUAGCGCUAGAAAUCACACAGAAAGGGUGCACGAAAGGAUGAAAACAUAGAAUGACAAGCCGAAGAAUACCUAACACAUGGACAAAUAUAACUAUUUUUAGAAAAACUGUUUGAUAAUUUCUAUUUUUAAAAUUCACUUUUAUAUGCAUGGAUCAACUUUCAUCUACAUGUUCCGCGUUUAUUUAUUUACCAUUCCAUGUAAGAUUACCCACAUGAAAUCACCGCUUUAGCAUAUAAUUUUUAUGCACAAAGUAUAUACACAAAGUACAUAGUUUUUAUGCACAAAGAAUAGUUAGAUUCCACCGAUCUAAUGGGAGCAUAUUCUUCAUGCAACCUUUUUAUGCAUAAAUUUAUGUGCUGGAUAAAUUUAAUUGGUUCAAUUUUAAUCCAAGUUGUACGCUCUCAUAUUCAAAUUGGAAUCUAUGCUAGAUUAGUGCCAGAUCACCAGCAUUCAUAUUCUGAUUUGCAUGCAUUGCAUUGAUGCCCUAGCAUCGUUUCUUCUCACAAUGGAUGUUGAAAGUCGACGUGUGACACGACAUUUAUGAACAUGUACAAGCACCAGGAGAAAGAACAAACAGUUUCAGAAACUCCACUAAUAUAGGGUUCAAUCAUUCCACAUUAUUUCCGUGCUUUAAAAAGUGACAGCAAACUUGUGACAGAUAUUUACAGCUUUCAUGGGGAAUUUGUAACAAAGAUAUUAACAAUUUGCCUUCAGAAUGAGAGACACUGGAAAUGCAGAUGACAUGGUUGAAUCCUAUCACAAAUACAGCACAAGGAUAAAGUUAGUUUCCUGAAAUGCAUUUUGUAAUCCCUCAUUUUCCAGUGCAACUGAAAACUAGGAAUAAUUGAAAGUUAUAACCAUCAAGAAUUUCAUGGAACUGAAAGUUCUAAUGUAAUUUUCUUAAUUUAGGAUUUCUGAGACAUGAAGUUGAGAUCAUCAGAAGCAAAGAUCACAGCAAGAGUUAGUACUAAAAACGGAUGCCUAGUACAUGGGGCAUGUAAUCAGCUUAAAUCUCAAGCAAUUUACUGAUCCUGAGAAUUGUCAUAAUAAAAUGUCCUAAAUGAGGGCAUAUAUACAUACUGAUGUGUGGCACACAAAACAGAACUCUGUUAAUCUAUAAGAAAAAAUCAAGCAUGUCAUGGAAUAUUCACAAAAAAUAUAUAUAUUUUUACAAAUUUCAAGACUUAUUUUUACUACCUUACAAUAGAAUCUGCAGAUGCACAAAAAACAAGCUC